GACAGAGGCCUCAAGCGUUAGGCGGAAUCACUGGGCUUAAAGCGUGUGUAGGCGGAGUGCUAAGUACCUUGUGAAAUCCCACGGCUCAACCGUGGAACUGCUUGGUAUACUGGUUCUCUUGAGCCACCUAGGGGCAACCGGAACAAACGGUGGAGCGGUGAAAUGCGUAGAUAUCGUUUGGAACGCCAAUGGUGAAAACAGGUUGCUGGGGGUGUGCUGACGCUGAGACACGAAAGCCAGGGGAGCAAACGGG
rnacentral:rRNA from 1 species